rnacentral:rRNA from 1 species
AGAGAGAGACAUGCGCGCAUAUCAAUAAGCGGAGGAAAAGAAACUAACAAGGAUUCCCUUAGUAACGGCGAGUGAAGCGGGAAGAGCUCAAAUUUGAAAUCUUCAAGGUUCUACCUUGACGAAUUGUAGUUUAUAGAAGUGUUUUCUGUUAGUGGAGUGGCAAAAGUUCUUUGGAAUAGGACAUCAUAGAGGGUGAGAAUCCCGUAUUUGGUCAUUCCUCCUAGCGUUGUGAUACACUUUCAACGAGUCGGAUUGUUUGGGAAUGCAGUCCAAAAUGGGUGGUAAAUUUCAUCUAAAGCUAAAUAUUGGCGAGAGACCGAUAGCGAACAAGUACCGUGAGGGAAAGAUGAAAAGAACUUUGAAAAGAGAGUUAAACAGUACGUGAAAUUGUCAAAAGGGAAGCGUUUGACACCAGUGUUGUUUUUCCGAAAAUCAAUUACGAAUGUUUUGUUUUUGAGGAGUUAUGACCUUCAUCGGCUUGCUCCUUUCUUUAUGAAACUUUCUUAAUGCACUUUUCGGUUAACAAGUCAACAUCAAUUUCUUUUGUUGUAAAAGGGUAUGAGGAAGGUGGCUUUCUUUUCGGAGAAAGUGUUUAUAGCCUUGUAGCCUCUGCAAUCGGAGAGAUUGAGGUCUGCAGCGUAGAUCCUUCGGGGUUAGAUACAGUUUGUGCUAAGUUAUAGCUUUUCAUAGACAACUUGUUGACUAUGUUUAGUCUUGUAGCUUACUCGCUGAUGCUAUUUUACCUACGCUUAGGAUGUUGAUAGUCACAGCGUGUAC